rnacentral:rRNA from 1 species
UUAACUAAAACACAGGUCUGUGCAAAAGCGAAAGCUGAAGUAUACGGGCCGAAACCUGCCCAGUGCCGGAAGGUUAAAUGCGUGGGUGACCACUCGCAAGAGUGAAAGCCUGCAAGUGAAGCCCCGGUGAACGGCAGCAGUAACUAUAACUGUUCUAUGGUGGAAUGCUAACUGCCAUAGUGAGGUAUUCAAUCCUCCGUCAAGUGCCCCGACGUGCGGGGUGGAGAUGAAAAUCUGACCAAAUGCUGGAAUAUCUGUAGUAUCUUGUGCUACUAUGUGUUUAUUGACACAUAGUGACAAUGCAACAAGUGCAGACAAUCAGCAGGAAAGACUGAGUCCUUGGUGGAUUGUGGGAUUUACUGAUGGUGAAGGAUGUUUUUCUGUAAGUCGAUUCAAAAAUCGAACCUGCAAAAGUGGUUUCCAGACUCUUUAUGAGUUUGUCAUCACCCAGGGGGAGAUAAGUAGAGCGGCUUUAGAGGCAAUCAAAAGUUAUUUUGGUUGUGGAAACAUUUAUAUCAAUCAUCGGUAUGAUAACCAUAAUCAUGAUCUGUUAAGGUAUUGUGUAAGAAGACAGGAUGAUCUUAGAAAUAAGAUAAUUCCAUUUUUUACUAAAUAUCGAUUACAGACUGCAAAAUUGGCUCAAUUUGAGUUAUUUUGUAAGAAAAUCAAGGAAGCAGAAUCCUCAACGACUAUACGUCAGAUCCCGCUAAAUGGGAAAGAUAUAGUCUGAUCUUUACAGCGAUGUAAAGUUAACAACGCAAAAUGAGCGAAAUUCCUUGUCGGGUAAGUUCCGACCUGCACGAAAGGUGUAACGACUUUGUAACUGUCUUGAGAGGAGACUCGGCGAAUUUGAAAUGGCUGUGAAGAUGCGGCCUACUGGCAGCAGGACAAAAAGACCCCGUGGAGCUUUACUAUAACUUGGCACUGAAAUGUGUGUUGUAAUUGUCGAGAGUAGGAGGGAGAGUCGAGUAUUUAUAUUCGACUCGAAAUUUGGAACACCUCUCUUUGUGACGUACAUUUCUCACUUAAGUUGACUGCAAACGUCAACGAGGACACUGUCUGGUGGAUAGUUUAACUGGGGAGGUUGCUUGCUAAAGAGUAACGCAAGCGUACAAAGGUACCCUUAGUUCCGAUGGAAACGGAACUGGAAGCAUAUAGGUAUAUGGGUGCUUAACUGCGAGACAAACAGGUCGAGCAGAUACGAAAGUAGGUCUAAGUGAUCCUCGUGUACUUCGUGGGAAGUACCGGGCUUAACGGAUAAAAGCUACCCCGGGGAUAACAGAGUAGUCGCGUCUGAGCGUCCACAGCGACGACGCGGUUCGCUACCUCGAUGUCGGCUCAGCACAUCCUGGGGCUGGAGAAGGUCCCAAGGGUUGGUCUGUUCGCCCAUUAAAGUGCUACAUGAGCUGGGUUCAAACCGUCGUGAGACAGGUUGGUCUCUAUCCGCUGUCAGCGUGGGGUUUUUGAGGGAGUUUGCCUUCAGUACGAGAGGACCAAGGUGAGCCAAUCCCUAGUGAUUCUGUUGUUGCCGUCAGGCGCAUAGCAGAGUAGCUACAUUGGUAUGAGAUAACCGCUGAAUGCAUCUAAGCGGGAAGCUCUUCCUAAGAUGAGAAACCCAUGUCCCGCAAGGGACGAAAGAUCCGUGGUAGACUACCACGUUAAUAGGCGAGAGGUGUAAGCAAUGCAAGUUGUUUAGCUUACUCGUACUAAUGAUCAAAGAAUAAAUCAA